UAGGGGAUCUUCCGCAAUGGACGCAAGUCUGACGGAGCAACGCCGCGUGAGUGAAGAAGGAUUUCGGUUCGUAAAACUCUGUUGUUAGAGAAGAACAGCGCAUAGAGUAACUGUUAUGCGUGUGACGGUAUCUAACCAGAAAGCCACGGCUAACUACGUGCCAGCAGCCGCGGUAAUACGUAGGUGGCAAGCGUUGUCCGGAUUUAUUGGGCGUAAAGCGAGCGCAGGCGGUUAGAAAAGUCUGAAGUGAAAGGCAGUGGCUCAACCAUUGUAGGCUUUGGAAACUGUUUAACUUGAGUGCAGAAGGGGAGAGUGGAAUUCCAUGUGUAGCGGUGAAAUGCGUAGAUAUAUGGAGGAACACCGGUGGCGAAAGCGGCUCUCUGGUCUGUAACUGACGCUGAGGCUCGAAAGCGUGGGGAGCGAACAGG
rnacentral:rRNA from 1 species